AGAACAGAAAAAGUCAUAUAUCAAGGCAACGUUAAUAUGCUUUGAUAGGGACACUUGUCAGAGACUUUCUCCAGCUAGCUUCUCUUUUCUUGAAGAAUGCCAAGUAACGGGAAUUAUAUCGCAGACCAACUUUGCAAAUUGGCUUCCAUCUCUCAAGAACUUGUUGCAAUUAAGAACUCAGUUCUUCCCACAGGUCUCAACUGGCCAUUUUCUGUAACCAGCCAAGGGCUCAAGUGGAGGAAUUGUUACACCAACCUAUCUCUAAACCCUUGACCUACAGAUUCUACUGCCUGUAGAGUGAACUGGGACUGGAGCUUAGCAGAAUCAUCAUUAAAGAGAUCAGAGAGACUUCUUCCAGCAUCUGAUGGGAGCAGAUGCACAGUCCCACAACCAAACAUUAGGUGGAGUUCAAAGAGUCCUGGGGAGACAGGAGGAAGGAUCUGAGGAUUGGUCAGGAACAUACCGUGAGAAUGUUGCCCAGAGAACUAAUUGACUGAGAUUUGUGGGAAGUUGCAGAGAUCAGUAAUCCUGUAGAGCUCUAACCUGGGUACUUUACAUACAUAUGUUAUGGCUGAGUGGCUUGGUGUUCUUGUGGAAAUCAGGGUCUAUCCCUCACUAACUCUUUUGCCUAUCUGUGAAAACCAUUUUCUCUUACUGGGUUGUCUUGCCCAGCUUUGAUGUGAUGGUAUGUGCCUGGUCUUAUUGUAGUUUGUUAUAGCCUGCUUGAUAUUUGGUUGAUGUCCCUGGGAGGCCGGCUCUUCUCAGCAGGGAGAGAAGAGGGAGGGGAAAUUGGUUGAGAUGUAAUUCAUGAGAGAAUAACAAAAAAACAAAGUCUAAUUCAGUUAGUAGAUUCAUAGACUAACACCUUGGUCACAUGUGUACUUCAAGCUGCUGUCUCCCUGUGUGUGAAUCCAUUCAUAUGCAUGUGCAGUAGUCAGAGGCAGCUUUUGGGAACUGUUUUUUUUUUUUUCCUUCUGUUUUGUGGGCUUCAGAAUUAGAUCUCAGUUGAUCAAGCUUGACAGCAAGUGCCUGUACACACUGAACCCUCUCAUUGAUCCCCUAAUAUAGUUUCCAAUAGUCUGUAAAGGGCAUAUAUUUGCACUAUAAUCUUAUUUUUAAAGUAAAAAGUAAACUUAAGUGUUCAUUUGAAUGGGCAAGGAUGGAAAACAGGUUGUCUGAGGAUAUCAAGUUAAUUGAAGAAUUUUACUAAAAUUAUCCUAGGAGUUUUCUUGUUCAGCACAAUGAAUUGAAACACCUUAAACAUUAAUAGGUAACAUUUACACAUUAGUUACAUGGUCAAGAGAUAAUUUUAGAAUUUUAAAUAAUUUUUAAUGUAUGGUAUUAUGUCUAAUUUAAAGAAAUUUUCUCUCCGAAUUGAGAUUUUCCGUUUUGUGAUCCUAGUCAAAUCGCAAACUUAAAUUGAAAAUUAUUCAUUAAUUACUGCAAUUCUAGUGCUUAGCUGAGUUAUGAUUUUAUUAUUGUCUUCACUCUGGCAGUGCAGAAUCAAGUGUAAUUUGAUAUUCUAUUCACAUUAAGGAAAACAUUGGAAGCAUAUAUUUCCCAGCCUAUACUAUUCACGAUCUAUAGCUCUGACACUGAACCUUUAAAAAUUUUCCCCUUUCUCCCUCCAAACCAUCCCUUAUACUCCUCCCAAUCUCCUUCAAGUUCAUGGCCACUUUUCAUUACUUAUCCCCACAUGCAUGUAAAUAUACAUUAUAUUAAUAAAUAUCCCAUGCUCAGUCCA